rnacentral:rRNA from 1 species
UACGAAGGGGGCUAGCGUUGCUCGGAAUUACUGGGCGUAAAGGGAGCGUAGGCGGAUAGUUCAGUCAGAGGUGAAAGCCCAGGGCUCAACCUUGGAACUGCCUUUGAUACUGGCUAUCUUGAGUUUGGGAGAGGUAUGUGGAACUCCGAGUGUAGAGGUGAAAUUCGUAAGAUAUUCGGAAGACACCAGUGGCGAAAGGCGACAUACUGGCCCAAUACUGACGUGAGGCACGAAAGUCGG